AGGACUAUGAUGCCUUCUUUGAAGCCAGAGAAAAUAAUGCAGUGUAUGCCUUUUUAGGCUUGACAGCCCCACCUGGUUCAAAGGAAGCAGAAGCUCAGGCAAAGCAGCAAGCAUGAACCUUAAGGAAUCUGCCUUAAGUGUCCUGGAAAAGGAGUCUCCAUUGUUUUUACACAAUAGCAAAAUUACCUUGGCUUCAAAAGAAAUAGGCUUAAUGUUGAAAUAAUAGAUUAGUUGGUGUUUUCGCAUGCAAACAAUCAAAAUGAAUACAUAAUUAAAUGUGAAUGUUAUGAUAAGGAAAAUGGAGGAUGAACGUAAUAUUUUAAAUGGAUGUCAUGGAAUAGUUUUGUUAUCUGCCAAGGCAUUUUAUGUACUUUAAUGAUUUUUAAAAGCAAACACUUGUGCCCUUUGUUGUUAUUACAAUUUCAGCUUAAGUAUAUCUGUAGCUUCACAUUGAGGAAUUUAAAAGAGAGAGAGAGAGAGAGAGAGAGAGAGAGAGAGAGAGAGAAUCUGUCUCAUUUUCCCAAAUUGCCUCAUUAAUUUUAAUGAACAAAAACAUGUACCUUUUUGAUAGGAUGUUAUUGUGACUAAAAAGUAGUUGCAGGUAAUGUUUAUGAUGUCAGACAUUAUAAUUUCCUAUGGUAAUUAUAACAUUCCCAUUGUUUUGUAGUUGAAACUUCUAUGUACUGAACCACAGGUUUUCUAUGCUUCUUAAGAUAGUCUUUCAUUGCAUAUUUCAGUGAUCAGAACAGAUGACCACAAUAAAAAAAAAACAGAAGCAUUCCGUUGACAAAUUCCUUGCUUAACUAUACAGACAGCUAUGGUGCAAUCCUGUUUCUAAGUUGUUUGCCCCAGUGAAAUAUGCAUAUGUAUGUUAUGGAAAUGGAAUGGUAUGUACAUUUAAAGAGCCUUCCUUUUGCAAAGAGCUCAGACUUUUAAUUAACUAUUAUAAAAUAGGUCAGCAUUUAUUGCCUAAGACUGUUUUUGAAGGGCUAUUUGCUAAAAAUAUCUUAGUGGUUUCCCCCUUUUAAAAAAAUAGUGACCAAAAAUGCCACUAUCUCUAGAUAUUUGACGUUUUUAUUUCAGCAUGGGCAUAUAAUAUGUGCAUACAUUAAUCUAAGCAGAGAGAAUAUUUUCUAUGCCUGUGUUCUGGUGAAUAGCACAAGUAUCAGAUAAAAGUGCCAUUUUUAAAAUGUUAAUUUAUAAAACUUCUAAGAAGACAAGAAACAUCAUGGUCUAAAUCACUUACCCAGGAGAUACACAUAUUGUACUUUAGUUCCACACUACUUUAUUACUAAAAUCAAAUACCAUUUACAUUAAAUUAUAUUAUCAUAUCAUUUGAUGUACUCAAGUCUGUGCUCUUUGCCAAAAUCAACAUAUAAUGAAGACAUGGCUUUGCUUACUGGGAUUCAAACUUGAUGUGAUGCUUUACAAUAAACUCAGUACUUUUAGAAAUAUAAUUUAUGUGUUCCUGGAGUUUCUAAAUAAUGUAGUAGUAAUUUUAGAUGAGUAAUAUAUAUAUAAUUUUUGAGGAUGGGGAAGGUUAAAAGAAAUAAUAACAAAGAAAACAAUUUGAAUGCAAUUUCUAAAUUUCUUUUUUAGGUUCCUGAGUUUUUUGAUACACACUGGAGUCAAAUAAAGAACUAUUCCAUUGUUUUGUGUACAAAAAUAUGCUAUGAAGAAUACUAGAGAAAACUGUGCUUUGUAAUAGAUCCUGGAAAGUGUUUAAAAAAUUGGUCAAUAUUUUUCUGAGCUUUAUUAAAUGUGGGUGAUUCUAUUUGCAAUAUUCUAUGUGGAUGUUUUUACUUUUAUUUUAGUAUCAAAUAAGUUACCACUGUUAAAAACAGACAUUCUUCAAAAAUAGAUUACCUUUUUGAUAUGUGUAUGACUACCAGACUGUAUGACUACCAGACUGUAUCUUACAAUUAACAUAUAUGUACAUUUAAAGUAAAAGGUCAGAUUGAGUCUUCCUAAAUUGAAAUCUUUCAUUUUGUCAGCUGAGCACUGUAUAUCUGGAAGAUACAAGAAAAGUGAAAUUCUGAUUAUUAAGAGCUGAUUUGCCCUUAAGACUAUAUGACCUUCAGGAAAAUGUCUGUUUUCACCAAACAAUGCAAAUUGUUAAAUGUCAGCACUUAUUUGGGAAUCUGAGUAUAUGGGGAAAAGGAAUUUUGAAACAGAGAUUUUUGUUAUAAUUACUUGCUUGGGUAAGUUUAAAUACAGAGUUGAAUUAAAUUCAUUAAUUCAGCAAAAGGAAAAAGAAAGUUUCACAUGGAUUUGAUUACCCAGCUGUGGAUGAUGAAAAUAUAGACAGAUUGACAUUGAUUUUAUUUUUUUCCUAUGUGAAAUAAAUAGGUAUUUCUUUUCUUUUGAAGAAUUCCAAUAAAACAGAAUAAGAGACAUUCAUAUUUGGUUAAUUUGAACUCUCUGGUUUUCUUCCCCCACCUCCCUAACCUUGUCAGUGAAUAUUAUGUCAUCUCCUUUCUUUAUUAAGCAAACAAAAUUUUGAAUUGCCACUUAAAGAGUAACCACACUGUUUAUAUAAUUAUUAUUGAUUUCCUUCAUAACAUCUUCUUUGAUAUAUAAUUCACAUACCAUAAAAUUCACUCACUUAAAGUAUACAAUUCAGUGAUUUUUAGUAUACUGUGAGCUACGCAACCAUCAUAAUUUAAGUUUAGAACAUUUUAUCACCCAAUAAGUAAACUCUAUAUUUAUUAGCAGUCACUCCCCAACUCCCACUCCCCCAGUCCUAUAUAACCACUUAUUUAUUUUCUGUCUCUAUGGAUUUACCUUUAAACAAUUCAUAUACAUGGAAUCAUAUAAUAUGUGCUCUUUUGUGAAUGACUUCUUCAAAGUACCUGGUUUUUAAGCGUCACCCAUGUUUAUGCAUCAGUAUUACAUUUUUUAUUGUUGAAUAAUACUCUAUUGUAUGGAUAUAACCUUAUUUU